rnacentral:rRNA from 1 species
GGACGAACGGCUGGCGGCGUGCCCUAACACAUGCAAGUCGAGCGAGGAGAUUCCUCGGGAUGAUCCUAGCGGCGGACGGGUGAGUAACACGUGGGCAACCUGCCUCAUAGGAGAGGAAUAGCCUUCCGAAAGGAGAUUAAUACCUCAUAACAUUGCAGUUUCGCAUGGAACAGCAAUUAAAGGAGUAAUCCGCUAUGAGAUGGGCCCGCGGCGCAUUAGCUAGUUGGUGAGGUAAUGGCUCACCAAGGCGACGAUGCGUAGCCGACCUGAGAGGGUGAUCGGCCACAUUGGGACUGAGACACGGCCCAGACUCCUACGGGAGGCAGCAGUGGGGAAUAUUGCACAAUGGGGGAAACCCUGAUGCAGCCAACGCCGCGUGAGUGAUGACGGCCUUCGGGUUGUAAAGCUCUGUCUUCAGGGACGAUAAUGACGGUACCUGAGGAGGAAGCCACGGCUAACUACGUGCCAGCAGCAGC